UACGUAGGGCGCAAGCGUUGUCCGGAAUUAUUGGGCGUAAAGAGCUCGUAGGCGGUUUGUCGCGUCUGCUGUGAAAACCUAAGGCUCAACCUUGGGCUUGCAGUGGGUACGGGCAGACUAGAGUGCGGUAGGGGUGACUGGAAUUCCUGGUGUAGCGGUGGAAUGCGCAGAUAUCAGGAGGAACACCAACAGCGAAGGCAGCACUCUGGGCCGGUACUGACGCUGAGGAGUGAAAGCAUGGGGAGCGAACAGG
rnacentral:rRNA from 1 species